rnacentral:rRNA from 1 species
AUUGAACGCUGGCGGCAGGCCUAACACAUGCAAGUCGAGCGAGUGGCGGACGGGUGAGUAAUGUAUGGGGACCUGCCCGAUAGAGGGGGAUAACUACUGGAAACGGUGGCUAAUACCGCAUACUAUCGGAUGAACCCUUACUGGAGUAGCUAGUAGGUGGGGUAAAGGCUCACCAAGGCGACGAGCGCUAGCUGGUCUGAGAGGAUGAUCGGCCACACUGGAACUGAGACACGGCCCAGACUCCGACGGGAGGCAGAAGUGGGGAAUAUUGCACAAUGGGCGCAAGCCGGAUGCAGCCAUGCCGCGGGUAUGAGGAAGGCCUUAGGGUUGUAAAGUACUGUCAGCGGGGAGGCGUUACCCGAAGAGGAAGCACCGGCUAACUACGUGCCAGCAGCCGCGGUAAUUC